UCUACGGCACUGAUGGGAAGGAA
rnacentral:piRNA from 1 species